GAUUCCCCUAGUAACGGCGAGUGAAGCGGGAAAAGCUCAAAUUUGAAAUCUGGCGGUCUACGGCCGUCCGAGUUGUAGUCUAGAGAGGUGUCUUCUGCGUCGGACCAUGCACAAGUCCCUUGGAACAGGGCGUCAUAGAGGGUGAGAAUCCCGUCCGUGGCAUGGACUCCCGGUGCUUUGUGAUGCGCCUUCGAAGAGUCGAGUUGUUUGGGAAUGCAGCUCAAAAUGGGUGGUAAAUUCCAUCUAANGCUAAAUACAGGCGAGAGACCGAUAGCGAACAAGUACCGUGAGGGAAAGAUGAAAAGCACUUUGGAAAGAGAGUUAAACAGUACGUGAAAUUGUUGAAAGGGAAACGCUUGGAGUCAGUCGCGUUUGCCGGGACUCAGCCUUGCUUCUGCUUGGUGCACUUCCUGGUACACGGGCCAGCAUCGAUUUNGAUCGCCGGAAAAAGGCUUGGGGAAGGUGGCACCUUCGGGUGUGUUAUAGCCCCUUGUUGUAUACGGUGGUUGGGAUUGAGGACCGCAGCACGCCUUUUGGUCGGGGUUCGCCCACGCCACGUGCUUAGGAUGCUGGCGUAAUGGCUUUAAACGACCCGUCUUGAAACACGGACCAAGGAGUCUAACAUGCCUGCGAGUGUUUGGGUGUAAAACCCAGGCGCGUAAUGAAAGUGAAAGGUUGGGACUCUUCGCUGAGGCACCGACGCCCGAUCCUGACGUUCUCUGACGGAUUUGAGGUAGAGCAUGUAUGUUGGGACCCGAAAGAUGGUGAACUAUGCCUGAAUAGGGCGAAGCCAGAGGAAACUCUGGUGGAGGCUCGUAGCGAUUCUGACGUGCAAAUCGAUCGUCAAAUUUGGGUAUAGGGGCGAAAGACUAAUCGAACCAUCUAGUAGCUGGUUCCUGCC
rnacentral:rRNA from 1 species